rnacentral:rRNA from 1 species
GACGAACGCUGGCGGCGUGCUUAACACAUGCAAGUCGAACGGAAAGGCCCUGCUUGCCGGGUACUCGAGUGGCGAACGGGUGAGUAACACGUGGGUGAUCUGCCCUGCACUUCGGGAUAAGCUUGGGAAACUGGGUCUAAUACCGGAUAGGAGCCAUCUUUAGUGUGGUGGUUGGAAAGUUUUUUCGGUGUAGGAUGAGCUCGCGGCCUAUCAGCUUGUUGGUGGGUAAUGGCCUACCAAGGCGGCGACGGGUAGCCGGCCUGAGAGGGUGUACGGCCACAUUGGGACUGAGAUACGGCCCAGACUCCUACGGGAGGCAGCAGUGGGGAAUAUUGCACAAUGGGCGCAAGCCUGAUGCAGCGACGCCGCGUGGGGGAUGAAGGCCUUCGGGUUGUAAACUCCUUUCGCUAGGGACGAAGCUUUUUUGUGACGGUACCUAGAGAAGAAGCACCGGCUAACUACGUG